CAGUUUUUAAAGGGUGCUCAGCUGUUCUUUCCGCUAAAUACUUCAUUUGAGUAUCUAGAAUUUCAUCGACUUCUUGAAGUGCA
rnacentral:tRNA from 1 species